rnacentral:tRNA from 1 species
CGCGGGGUAGAGUAGAGGUUACUCAACAGCUUCAUGAGCUGGUCACGCAGGUUCGAAUCCUGCCCCCGCUACCA